GAUGAACGCUGGCGGCGUGCCUAAUACAUGCAAGUCGAGCGAACGGGCGAGAAGCUUGCUUCUCUGAUGUUAGCGGCGGACGGGUGAGUAACACGUGGAUAACCUACCUAUAAGACUGGGAUAACUUCGGGAAACCGGAGCUAAUACCGGAUGAUAUUUUGAACCGCAUGGUUCAAAAGUGAAAGACGGUCUUGCUGUCACUUAUAGAUGGAUCCGCGCUGCAUUAGCUAGUUGGUAAGGUAACGGCUUACCAAGGCAACGAUGCAUAGCCGACCUGAGAGGGGGAUCGGCCACACUGGAACUGAGACACGGUCCAGACUCCUACGGGAGGCAGCAGUAGGGAAUCUUCCGCAAAGGGCGAAAGCCUGACGGAGCAACGCCGCGUGAGUGAUGAAGGUCUUCGGAUCGUAAAACUCUGUUAUUAGGGAAGAACAUAUGUGUAAGUAACUGUGCACAUCUUGACGGUACCUAAUCAGAAAGCCACGGCUAACUACGUG
rnacentral:rRNA from 1 species